CUGUGACAUACCACUUGUUGCCUCGGCGGAUCAGCCCGCUCCCGGUAAAACGGGACGGCCCGCCAGAGGACCCCUAAAACUCUGUUUCUAUAUGUAACUUCUGAGUAAAACCAUAAAUAAAUCAAAACUUUCAACAACGGAUCUCUUGGUUCUGGCAUCGAUGAAGAACGCAGCAAAAUGCGAUAAGUAAUGUGAAUUGCAGAAUUCAGUGAAUCAUCGAAUCUUUGAACGCACAUUGCGCCCGCCAGUAUUCUGGCGGGCAUGCCUGUUCGAGCGUCAUUUCAACCCUCAAGCACAGCUUGGUGUUGGGACUCGCGUUAAUUCGCGUUCCUCAAAUUGAUUGGCGGUCACGUCGAGCUUCCAUAGCGUAGUAGUAAAACCCUCGUUACUGGUAAUCGUCGCGGCCACGCCGUUAAACCCCAACUUCUGAAUGUUGACCUCGGAUCAGGUAGGAAUACCCGCUGAACUUAAGCAUAUCA
rnacentral:rRNA from 1 species